rnacentral:lncRNA from 1 species
CGUAAACUACCUAAAGCCAUCGAAAACUGUCUCAUUGUCUAUUUUUUCUUUCUUUUAAUUUAUCUACAUCUCUUACCUUAAACAACUUUUCUUAGUUAUGAGAAGUCUAAUGUUUUGGCAAGUUAUUACCUUAAGAGGUGCCAUUCUAACAUGAUGAUUGGCAUGAGUGAAGAAAGAUUGUUGGUAAGGCAUGAGGAUC